CUACGGGUUGCUGCAGUGAGGAAUAUUGCACAAUGGGGGGAGCCCUGAUGCAGCAACGCCGCGUGGAGGAUGACGCAUUUCGGUGUGUAAACUCCUUUUAUAUGUCAAGAAAAUGACGGUAGCAUAUGAAUAAGCACCGGCUAACUCCGUGCCAGCAGCCGCGGUAAUACGGAGGGUGCAAGCGUUACUCGGAAUCACUGGGCGUAAAGGACGCGUAGGCGGGUUGGAAAGUCAGGUGUGAAAUCCUACAGCUUAACUGUAGAACUGCACUUGAAACUUCUAAUCUAGAGUAUGGGAGGGGGAGAUGGAAUUAGUGGUGUAGGGGUAAAAUCCGUAGAUAUCACUAGGAAUACCUAAAGCGAAGGCGAUCUCCUGGAACAUUACUGACGCUAAGGCGUGAAAGCGUGGGGAGCAAACAGGAUUAGAUACCCUUGUAGUC
rnacentral:rRNA from 1 species